rnacentral:rRNA from 1 species
AUCCUACGGGAGGCUGCAGUGGGGAAUCUUGCGCAAUGGGGGGAACCCUGACGCAGCGACGCCGCGUGCGGGACGGAGGCCUUCGGGUCGUAAACCGCUUUCAGCAGGGAAGAGUCAAGACUGUACCUGCAGAAGAAGCACCGGCUAACUACGUGCCAGCAGCCGCGGUAAUACGUAGGGGGCGAGCGUUAUCCGGAUUCAGUGGGCGUAAAGCGCGCGUAGGCGGCCCGGCAGGCCGGGGGUCGCAGCGGUGGGCUCAACCCCGCGAAGCCCCCGGAACCUCCGCGGCUUGGUUCCGGUAGGGGAGGGUGGAACACCCGGUGUAGCGGUGGAAUGCGCAGAUAUCGGGUGGAACACCGGUGGCGAAGGCGGCCCUCUGGGCCGAGACCGACGCUGAGGCGCGAAAGCUGGGGGAGCGAACAGGAUUAGAUACCCUGGUAGUC